rnacentral:rRNA from 1 species
GACGAACGCUGGCGGCGUGCUUAACACAUGCAAGUCGAACGGAAAGGCCCUGCUUUUGUGGGGUGCUCGAGUGGCGAACGGGUGAGUAACACGUGAGUAACCUGCCCUUGACUUUGGGAUAACUUCAGGAAACUGGGGCUAAUACCGGAUAGGAGCUCCUGCUGCAUGGUGGGGGUUGGAAAGUUUCGGCGGUUGGGGAUGGACUCGCGGCUUAUCAGCUUGUUGGUGGGGUAGUGGCUUACCAAGGCUUUGACGGGUAGCCGGCCUGAGAGGGUGACCGGCCACAUUGGGACUGAGAUACGGCCCAGACUCCUACGGGAGGCAGCAGUGGGGAAUAUUGCACAAUGGGCGGAGGCCUGAUGCAGCCACGCAGCGUGCGGGAUGACGGCCUUCGGGUUGUAAACCGCUUUCGCCUGUGACGAAGCGUGAGUGACGGUAAUGGGUAAAGAAGCACCGGCUAACUACGUG